UACGAAGGGAGCUAGCGUUGUUCGGAAUUACUGGGCGUAAAGCGUGCGCAGGCGGCUUUGCAAGACAGAUGUGAAAUCCCCGGGCUUAACCUGGGAACUGCAUUUGUGACUGCAUGGCUGGAGUGCGGCAGAAGGGGAUGGAAUUCCGCGUGUAGCAGUGAAAUGCGUAGAUAUGCGGAGGAACACCGAUGGCGAAGGCAAUCCCCUGGGCCUGCACUGACGCUCAUGCACGAAAGCGUGGGGAGCAAACAGG
rnacentral:rRNA from 1 species